rnacentral:rRNA from 1 species
UACGAAGGGGGCUAGCGUUGCUCGGAAUCACUGGGCGUAAAGGGUGCGUAGGCGGCUCUUUAAGUCCGGGGUGAAAUCCUGGAGCUCAACUCCAGAACUGCCUUUGAUACUGAAGAUCUUGAGUUCGGGAGAGGUGAGUGGAACUGCGAGUGUAGAGGUGAAAUUCGUAGAUAUUCGCAAGAACACCAGUGGCGAAGGCGGCUCGCUGGGACGCAACUGACGCUGAGACGCGAAAGCGUGGGGAGCAAACAGG